GGCUGGAUCUCUCGGGGUUACAGCCUUGCUGAAUUAUUCACCCUUGUCUUUUGCGUACUUCUUGUUUCCUUGGUGGGUUCGCCCACCACUAGGACAAACAUAAACCUUUUGUAAUUGCAAUCAGCGUCAGUAACAAAUUAAUAAUUACAACUUUCAACAACGGAUCUCUUGGUUCUGGCAUCGAUGAAGAACGCAGCGAAAUGCGAUAAGUAGUGUGAAUUGCAGAAUUCAGUGAAUCAUCGAAUCUUUGAACGCACAUUGCGCCCUUUGGUAUUCCAAAGGGCAUGCCUGUUCGAGCGUCAUUUGUACCCUCAAGCUUUGCUUGGUGUUGGGCGUCUUGUCUCUAGCUUUGCUGGAGACUCGCCUUAAAGUAAUUGGCAGCCGGCCUACUGGUUUCGGAGCGCAGCACAAGUCGCACUCUCUAUCAGCAAAGGUCUAGCAUCCAUUAAGCCUUUUUUCAACUUUUGACCUCGGAUCAGGUAGGGAUACCCGCUGAACUUAAGCAUAUCAAUAAGCGGAGGAA
rnacentral:rRNA from 1 species